UACGGAGGGGGCUAGCGUUGUUCGGAAUUACUGGGCGUAAAGCGCGUGUAGGCGGGGCUUUAAGUCAGGGGUGAAAUCCUGGAGCUCAACUCCAGAACUGCCUUUGAUACUGAAGAUCUUGAGUUCGGGAGAGGUGAGUGGAACUGCGAGUGUAGAGGUGAAAUUCGUAGAUAUUCGCAAGAACACCAGUGGCGAAGGCGGCUCACUGGCCCGAUACUGACGCUGAGGCACGAAAGCGUGGGGAGCAAACAGG
rnacentral:rRNA from 1 species